rnacentral:rRNA from 1 species
AAUUUUAAGGUCAAGCUACAAAGGGCGCAUGGUGAAUGCCUUGGCACUAGGAGCCGAAGAAGGACGCGAUAAGCUGCGAUAAGCCUUGGGUAGCCGCAAAUAGGCUGAGAUCCAGGGAUUUCCGAAUGAGGAAACUCACAUGGGUAACCCCAUGUAUCAUGCACUGAAUACAUAGGUGUAUGAGGGUAAACCCGGGGAACUGAAACAUCUAAGUACCCGGAGGAAGAGAAAGAAAAAUCGAUUUCCUAAGUAGCGGCGAGCGAACGGGAAAGAGCCCAAACCAGAAACUUGUUUCUGGGGUUGUGGAUAGAUCAUAAAAGAAGAGGUAUCUUAAUCGAAGAGGGCUGGAACGCCCUACCAUAGAAGGUAAUAGUCCUGUAGGUAAAAAGAGAAAACUU